rnacentral:lncRNA from 1 species
AUAAGUUUUUAAUAUACUUGAGGUGAGGUGACGUAUUUCCUUUAUUGAAACCCUAAUUUUUCCAUUUUGUUAAUGGAGCUUGUUGUCGAAUUCCCCUCAAAGCUUGCUACCCAGCAAAUUUUGUUGAAUGCCUACUCUGUAACUAUGGAUGAUUCAAAAUCCUAAUACAUUGCAUGAAUGCAAUCCCUUAAUUGAAUCUUUAAUCCCUUUUUGUGAACUCACAAUCCUUCGUGUGAAGUCUCAAUCCCUUCCAUUAACCCUUAAUCCCUUCCGCGAAGCCAAAAUCUCAAGCAAGGUUGAGAGUUUAUGUUAUUAGCUCCAGGUAUUGCGACGGAGAAGUAUUUGGAGGCGUUAAAGUUUCCGAUUUGGGCUCUGGUUGUUCGUGAAGGGGGUUGAAAUUUCUUCCCCAACUGGUUACUUGCCUGGCUGUAGUAGUAGAUUCAAUGUGUUAUUUUAUAAAUAUAUUAUUUCAAUUAGCACAAAAAAUGAAGAUUGCUCUGCAGAUUUUUUAUAAUUUGUAUGUUUGAGUUCCAAAUAGAAGUUAUUUAUGGUAAUGUGUAUGUUGCUCUGAAGUAGAAGCUAGUUGCUGUAAUGUAUUUGAUUUGUGAAGUUUAGUUAGCUGAAAUUGUGAAAUGGUAUUUAUUUUUAUUUUACCUCUUUCCAGUAAGGUUUAUUAUCUGUAUAUGAGGGACUGUUUCUCUUCCAUCUUGUAGGGCAACAGAAUCUUUACAUUUGAUCAAUUCCAACAACACCACUCCUAUAAACGUCGAUUUUGGUAGUGACCAUCCCUGCUCCUAGAUAUUCUGGAGCCACAUAACCGCUCGACACACCUGAAAAGGCACAACUUGAAGUUCUUUUCCUUUGUGAUUCUUCAGCAAGAGCAAAAUUUGUAAGAAUCCUUUUUUUUUUUCCUUUGAUUCCAUAUAUGUUGCCAUUUCUGCUUUCAAAUCAAGUUCUAUGACUCGUAAGUUGGUGUUGGUGGACUCAUGCUCCAUGAACAAUACAUAUAUUAAAAAAUUUGAUGGUAUAGGGUUAUAUGAUGUUUUAUUCAUCAGAAUACUAUAGGUAAACAAUUGACAAAAAGUUGGUGAAAGGUACGAAGGUUUAAUUUCGGAUGACAUAUAGGUAAUUAGUUAAUAAAACUUCAGAGUAAGAUACCUACCUAUCCCAGAGACCUUCAAUUCUAUACAUAAUCAUUUUGGAUUGUGAAUCAAAGAUCUUCCCUUUUAUCAGUCUCCGAUUUGUCCCAAACCCAAAGAAAGAUUGGCUUAUGUAGCUUAAUACUGCCAAAAGGCCUUUUUCUGUGAACCGGAUAGUGACAUUGCCAACUCAAUCAACCACAGGGACUGCAAAAAUUCUGACAAUGAUAUUGGAAAUUUAGAAGAAUUCAUUUCAUUUGUCUCUCCAUCACUUGGAGCUUCAGCUGCCGUUUUCCAUGAGCUUCUACUGAAAUGCCUCCAUGAUUGGUUUUGUUAUUUACAAGUCUUUUUUUUAAUAAUUUGAAUUCAAUUUUUUUUUUUACCAAAAAACAUUGGAACAUUAAUCAUGACCUAGAGGAAUUUAAGCAAAAAUUAAGAAUGACAAAAGAUUUCCAUAUGUCGAAGAUCUUAAAUUACCAGUGAAUUUUGGAAUAGUAGAGUUGCACCAUAUAAUUUGUUUGUUCUCCUUAUAAUCGGUUGCAUGGAGAGCACACAACGGAGGGUGAUGUGAAACCUUAGAACAAAACAUGUGUAUGCCUAUCUUAAUUAGGUCGUUCCAAAUAAUGUCUCCCAUUGUGACCAGCCAGGCACUCCUCGCGACUAUGUCACAAUAAUCCCUAGCAGCCAUGCUAAUAUUUGAAUAUACAACUUUGUAUGAUGUGUGGUAUUAUUAAUUUGUCCUUUUUCGGGUAAAUAAAAAAGAACCAACCUAAAAUUGUAGUGCAACUUUUAUUUUGAUUCCCUUUUGUAAAUGAAAUUGUUAUUUGUUUCUGACUAAUUUUGUAUGAUGUAUAAUAUGCUUGAUUCUUUUGUAUACAAUGUGAUUGUCAGAAAAUCCUCUAGCCACCAGUUCUCAGGUUUCAUUUGCUAAAAUAUGGAUUUAGACCUAACUACCGGGUAUUGGUUCAUCAUGGUGAAGAAGGAUCUAGUAUGGAGAACUUAGGUUAAAUAAUUUAAUUUGUUUCUUUUAAUUCUUCUACUUUAACAUGGGUGAAGCAGAUAUUACUUUAGUGUUGAUUAAGUCAAUAUUACCUUUAAUUCAUAUUAUAUUACUUUUCUGUUUAGAGUGGAGGAGCUUCAAUUGAUGCAAUUAAAAUUUAGUUAAAAUUAUAUAUUAAAAAAGAUCUAAGACUCGAAUCAACAUAAUUAAAACCUGAAAAACUAAAAUCAUAACAAAAAAAGAUGCAGUCAAUCCAGAAAGUUAUUAUUAUAACAAUUUUUUGGAUGGGCCAUUAUAUUAAACAUUAAUUUAUUUUUUCGUUUGUAUAGUUACAAUUUUUUGAAACUUUUAUAUUUAGAUAUAUGUCUCCUUUCAAUGUGUAUGAUUACUUUAUUUGUAAGUUCAAAGGAAAAGUAUCAUUGCAUGUGCAUUGAUGAUCAUAAUUGCUUGAGGUGUAAACAUUAACCUAAAGAAAAAAGGUUUAUUAUUUUACACAUUCUUAUUAUUAGCAUUUGAUCACAUUGAAUAAUUAAAAUUUAUUCAAAAAUAAAAUAUUAAUGUAUUUUUAAUAUCUUUAAAUAAGAUUCUUUAUUAAGAUUUAUGGGGGUAUAUUUUCUGU